AACCUGAGAAACCCGAAAGGUCGAAGGGAGAAAUUCAUUCGCGUUUCGACGUAGGCGUCGGGCGUUAUGACGAGCGAAGCGCGGGAUCACCGUUCUUCGGAGCGGAGUUUUGCGCGCGCGCCGUCUUUCGUCCUUCGAACCGGCGACGAACGCGUGCACUUUUCUCCUGGUAGGACGUCGCGAUCCGUCGGGUGUCGGUCUACGACUUGCGGUGGAGCCCGUCCGUCGUCUCGUACGUUACGGACGGACCCGCUCGUUCCGGCCGACUCGCUCGACGGUAUACCUUUGGUCGGAGGCCGCUCGUUAUUUUUGAAGGAGCGUUCGACUCGUCGCAAGCGCGCCACGUGUGUCGGCACGCGGACCUAGUGCCGCGUCCGAUCUCUGGUGACUGUUGGCGACGAAGUUCUCGGACAGACCUCUUUUUUCAUUUCCUCGCGAAAUGAAGAGACCGAUCGGCGACGCUAUAGCUUUGGGUACUUUCAGGACCCGUCUUGAAACACGGACCAAGGAGUCUAGCAUGUACGCGAGUCAUUGGGAAUCACUAAACCUAAAGGCGUAAUGAAAGUGAAGGUCUUCCUUGCGAAGACCGAGGGAAGACGGACGGUUGAACCGCCCUCAAAAGUGGGACCGUCCUACAUUCCCGGGGCGUCUCGUUCACAUCGCGUGAAGAGGCGCACCAAGAGCGUACACGCUGGGACCCGAAAGAUGGUGAACUAUGCCUGGUCAGGAC
rnacentral:rRNA from 1 species